UACGGAGGUGGCAAGCGUUGUUCGGAAUUACUGGGCGUAAAGGGCGCGUAGGCGGCUCACUAAGUCAGACGUGAAAUCCCCCGGCUUAACCUGGGAACUGCGUCUGAUACUGGAGGGCUUGAGUAUGGGAGAGGGAUGCGGAAUUCCAGGUGUAGCGGUGAAAUGCGUAGAUAUCUGGAGGAACACCGGUGGCGAAGGCGGCAUCCUGGACCAACACUGACGCUGAGGAGCGAAAGCCAGGGGAGCAAACGGG
rnacentral:rRNA from 1 species